UGAACUCCACAUACGCAUCCUUUGCUGAGGAUACGGUUAACGGAGCGAAAGCGACGUUCAACCUCAAAAGAAGCAGAGGGGGCUUAGUGGUGGGGUGACUGCGUACCUUUUGUAUAAUGGGUCAGCGACUUAUAUUCUGUAGCAAGGUUAACCGUAUAGGGGAGCCGGAGGGAAACCGAGUCUUAAUUGGGCGUUAAGUUGCAGGGUAUAGACCCGAAACCCGGUGAUCUAGCCAUGGGCAGGUUGAAGGUUGGGUAACACUAACUGGAGGACCGAACCGACUAAUGUUGAAAAAUUAGCGGAUGACCUGUGGCUGGGGGUGAAAGGCCAAUCAAACCGGGAGAUAGCUGGUUCUCCCCGAAAGCUAUUUAGGUAGCGCCUCGUGAAUUCAUCUCCGGGGGUAGAGCACUGUUUCGGCUAGGGGGUCAUCCCGACUUACCAACCCGAUGCAAACUGCGAAUACCGGAGAAUGUUAUCACGGGAGACACACGGCGGGUGCUAACGUCCGUCGUGAAGAGGGAAACAACCCAGACCGCCAGCUAAGGUCCCAAAGUCAUGGUUAAGUGGGAAACGAUGUGGGAAGGCCCAGACAGCCAGGAUGUUGGCUUAGAAGCAGCCAUCAUUUAAAGAAAGCGUAAUAGCUCACUGGUCGAGUCGGCCUGCGCGGAAGAUGUAACGGGGCUAAACCAUGCACCGAAGCUGCGGCAGCGACGCUUAUGCGUUGUUGGGUAGGGGAGCGUUCUGUAAGCCUGUGAAGGUGGCCUGUGAGGGUUGCUGGAGGUAUCAGAAGUGCGAAUGCUGACAUAAGUAACGAUAAAGCGGGUGAAAAGCCCGCUCGCCGGAAGACCAAGGGUUCCUGUCCAACGUUAAUCGGGGCAGGGUGAGUCGACCCCUAAGGCGAGGCCGAAAGGCGUAGUCGAUGGGAAACGGGUUAAUAUUCCCGUACUUGGUGUUACUGCGAAGGGGGGACGGAGAAGGCUAUGUUGGCCGGGCGACGGUUGUCCCGGUUUAAGCGUGUAGGUGUGUGUUCCAGGUAAAUCCGGUU
rnacentral:rRNA from 1 species